rnacentral:rRNA from 1 species
UGUAAAACGACGGGCCAGUGAAUGUAAUACGACUCACUAUAGGGCGAAUUGGGCCCGACGUCGCAUGCUCCCGGCCGCCAUGGCGGCCGCGGGAAUUCGAUUAGAGUUUGAUCAUGGCUCAGGAUGAACGCUUGCGGUGUGCCUAAUGCAUGCAAGUCGAACGGUUUUCCUUUGGAGAGCAAUCUUUGAAGGAAAAUAGUGGCGAACGGGUGAGUAACGCGUAAGUAACCUGCCCUCUAGUGUGGGAUAAUCCGCCGAAAGGUGGACUAAUACCUCAUGUUAUGGUCGUGGGAAGUUCAUGAUCAUCAAAGGGUCCGCAAGGACUUGCUAGAGGAGGGGCUUGCGUCCGAUUAGCUAGUUGGUAGGGUAACGGCCUACCAAGGCAGUAAUCGGUAGCUGGUCUGAGAGGACGAUCAGCCACACUGGGACUGAGACACGGCCCAGACUCCUACGGGAGGCAGCAGCAAGGAAUUUUGCGCAAUGGACGAAASUCUGACGCAGCAMCACCGCGUGASGSAAGAAGGCCUYCSGSUU